rnacentral:miRNA from 1 species
ACCCUUUGGCGGCCACCCACAGACUGCAAUUUUUUUGGAUUCGUUUGGAGGUCUCAUUUCUAUUUCUUUGUUGGCCAUUUCGAUUCUCCCUUGAGCUGAAAAAUUCCCUUGUUAUUGCUUUGCGAACUAAAAAGCAAUAAUAAAUAAUUUUUCGACUCAAGAAUUAAAAUGCCUCAUAAAGAAAUAGAAGCAAGACUCCAGAAGGAGUCGAAGAAAUUACAGUCUGUGGGCGACCGCCUAAGGGC